rnacentral:misc_RNA from 1 species
CCCAUCUACUUAUGCUGAUCAAGUGUUUGCAAAUGAGAUGAAUAUUGCAGUCCGAAUGACUGAGAAAAAUUACCGGGAAUACAUGUUUAGAGAAGCUUUGAAAACUGGAUUUUAUGAUUUGCAAGCUGCCAGGGAUGAGUACAGGUUCUCAUGUGGCAGUGGGGGCAUGAACCGUGACUUAAUAUGGCAUUUUAUGGAUGUGCAGACGAGGCUUAUUACUCCUAUCUGUCCACACUAUGCGGAAUAUGUUUGGAGGGAGCUUCUGAGGAAGGAUGGCUUUGUGGUCAAUGCAGGCUGGCCUACGGCUUGUU